CUAAGUUUGAUGGCGACCGGCGCACGGGUGAGUAACACGUAUCCAACCUGCCGAUGACUCGGGGAUAGCCUUUCGAAAGAAAGAUUAAUACCCGAUGGCAUAGUUCUUCCGCAUGGUAGAACUAUUAAAGAAUUUCGGUCAUCGAUGGGGAUGCGUUCCAUUAGGUUGUUGGCGGGGUAACGGCCCACCAAGCCUUCGAUGGAUAGGGGUUCUGAGAGGAAGGUCCCCCACAUUGGAACUGAGACACGGUCCGAACUCCUACGGGAGGCAGCAUG
rnacentral:rRNA from 1 species